rnacentral:rRNA from 1 species
UAUAGGUCAAGCUACAAAGGGCGCAUGGUGAAUGCCUUGGCAUCAGGAGCCGAUGAAGGACGUGAUAAGCUGCGAUAAGCUUCGGGUAGGCGCACAUAGCCUGAGAUCCGAAGAUCUCCGAAUGAGGAAACUCACAUGGGAAACCCCAUGUAUCAUUAAGUGAAUACAUAGCUUAAUGAAGGUAACCCA